rnacentral:rRNA from 1 species
CCAGACUGGAACUGAGACACGGUCCAGACUCCUACGGGAGGCAGCAGUGAGGAAUCUUCCACAAUGGGCGAAAGCCUGAUGGAGCAACGCCGCGUGAAGGAUGAAGGCCUUCGGGUUGUAAACUUCUUUUAUGAGUGAAGAAUAUGACGGUAACUCAUGAAUAAGCACCGGCUAACUACGUGCCAGCAGCCGCGGUCAUACGUAGGGUGCAAGCAUUAUCCGGAGUGACUGGGCGUAAAGAGUUGCGUAGGCGGUUUAAUAAGUGAAUAGUGAAACCUGGUGGCUCAACCAUACAGACUAUUAUUCAAACUGUUAAACUCGAGAGUGGUAGAGGUAACUGGAAUUUCUAGUGUAGGAGUGAAAUCCGUAGAUAUUAGAAGGAACACCAAUGGCGUAGGCAGGUUACUGGACCAUUUCUGACGCUAAGGCACGAAAGCGUGGGGAGCGAACCGGAUUAGAUACCCGGGUAGUCCACGCCGUAAACGAUGGAUACUAGCUGUUGGAGGUAUCGACCCCUUCAGUAGCGAAGCUAACGCGUUAAGUAUCCCGCCUGUGGAGUACGGCCGCAAGGCUAAAACAUAAAGGAAUUGACGGGGACCCGCACAAGCGGUGGAUCAUGUUCUUUAAUUCGAUGAUAAACGAAGAACCUUACCAGGGUUUGACAUCCCGAGAAGAUUUACGAAAGUAGAUUGUGCCUUUUGGAACUCGGUGACAGAUGAUGCAUGGCCGUCGUCAGCUCGUGUCGUGAGAUGUUUGGUUAAGUCCAUCAACGAGCGCAACCCUUGUGAAUAGUUGAAUUUUUCUAUUCAGACUGCCCCGGCAACGGGGAGGAAGGAGGGGAUGAUGUCAGGUCAGUAUUUCUCUUACAUCCUGGGCUAGAAACGUGAUACAAUGGCAAGUACAAUGCGCAGCGAAGCCGCGAGGUGAAGCAAAUCGCACCAAAGCUUGUCCCAGUUCGGAUUGGAGGCUGAAACUCGCCUCCAUGAAGUCGGAAUCGCUAGUAAUCGCAGGUCAGCAAACUGCGGUGAAUACGUUCCCGGGUCUUGUACACACCGCCCGUCAAGCCAUGAAAGUGACCAACACCCGAAGUCCGAUUCGUCGGCCUAAGGUGGGGGGCAUGAUUGGGGUUAAGUCGUAACAAGGUAUCCGUACCGGAAGGUGCGGAUG